CCUACGGGAUGCACCAGUGGGGAAUAUUGGACAAUGGGCGAAAGCCUGAUCCAGCAAUGCCGCGUGUGUGAAGAAGGUCUUCGGAUUGUAAAGCACUUUCGACGGGGACGAUGAUGACGGUACCCGUAGAAGAAGCCCCGGCUAACUUCGUGCCAGCAGCCGCGGUAAUACGAAGGUGGCUAGCGUUGCUCGGAAUGAUUGGGCGUAAAGGGCGCGUAGGCGGUUUAUGCAGUCAGAUGUGAAAUCCCCGGGCUUAACCUAGGAACUGCAUUUGAGACGGAUAGACUAGAGGUCGAGAGAGGGUUGUGGAAUUCCCAGUGUAGAGGUGAAAUUCGUAGAUAUUGGGAGGAACACCGGUGGCGAAGGCGGCAUCCUGGCUUGAUACUGACGCUGAGGCGCGAAAGCGUGGGGAGCAAACAGGAUUAGAUACCCGAGUAGUC
rnacentral:rRNA from 1 species